AUGCGUCGUUGGGUUAAAUCUUGUGGACCUCCAUCAUUGGAGAGAGUGGACCAGCAGUUCUCAGAGGUUCCCAGUGGUCCAUAUGACCAGCAUGAUCGAAUACAUCUGGACUCCAUAUUUACGUCGCUAGAAAACAAGAUCAUCACUUUUGUGAAGGAUGAGCUGAAGCAGAUCCAUAAGGUUCUAAGUCCAGAUGACCCAGAAUGCUCAGAGAGCCCAAGAAAAGUUGAUGAUGUGUCAGAAUGUGAGGAUGAAGAGCAGAGGA